UUCGGAAACGGACGCUAAUACCGCAUACGUCCUACGGGAGAAAGCAGGGGACCUUCGGGCCUUGCGCUAUCAGAUGAGCCUAGGUCGGAUUAGCUAGUUGGUGGGGUAAUGGCUCACCAAGGCGACGAUCCGUAACUGGUCUGAGAGGAUGAUCAGUCACACCGGAACUGAGACACGGUCCGGACUCCUACGGGAGGCAGCAGUGG
rnacentral:rRNA from 1 species